rnacentral:ncRNA from 1 species
GAGUGGUUGUGUGGUAAGAUCAAUAGCUCUUUCUCAAUUCAUUGGGUGGUGGUGUAUGACCGUUCUUAGUUGGUGGAGCGAUCUGUCUGGUUGAUUCCGAUAACAAACGAGACUCCAGCCUGCUAACUAGCGCGUUGAUUAGCGCUUCUCCGGUAGUGAGGUGGCGCCGAAGCCGUCAUUGGUAGUUCUGCACGCAGCCCGGGCUUGCUGUUGCUGCCACUCUCCCUCACGUCCAGCUGCCGCCCCCUCACGGGGCGGUGACCCAGUUGGCUCAGCUCGUGUGAGCCCGACGGCUGGGCCAGUCGGUUGGCAAACGCAAAUAGAGCAUAAAAUUUUGUCAAGGGUCAUAGCGACCUUUGACAUGAAAGAAUUUGCCUUCCUCUUCACGCGACAAUUCAACUUGCUUGGGGUCUCUGAUGAGGAAGAUUGAUGAUUUCCUU